rnacentral:rRNA from 1 species
UGGGGAAUUUUCCGCAAUGGGCGAAAGCCUGACGCAGCAACGCCGCGUGCGGGAAGAAGGCUUUCGGGCUGUAAACCGCUUUCAGCAGGAACGAAAAUGACGGUACCUGCAGAAGAAGGAGCGGCCAACUAUGUGCCAGCAGCCGCGGUGAUACGUAGGCUCCAAGCGUUGUCCGGAUUUAUUGGGCGUAAAGAGCUCGUAGGCGGUUGAGUAAGUCGGGUGUGAAAACUCUGGGCUUAACCCGGAGACGCCAUCCGAUACUGCUCUGACUAGAGUUCAGGAGGGGAGUGGGGAAUUCCUAGUGUAGCGGUGAAAUGCGCAGAUAUUAGGAGGAACACCGGUGGCGAAGGCGCCACUCUGGACUGAAACUGACGCUGAGGAGCGAAAGCAUGGGUAGCAAACAGGAUUAGAUACCCUGGUAGUCCAUGCCGUAAACGGUGGGCACUAGGUGUGGGUUCCAACUAACGGGAUCCGCGCCGUCGCUAACGCAUUAAGUGCCCCGCCUGGGGAGUACGGUCGCAAGACUAAAACUCAAAGGAAUUGACGG